AUCGCACGCAGGUGCCAGGGUGACCACCUAAGGAUGAGUGGUCAUGCUCUGGUUAAAUGGGAAACCGGUGAAACUCCGGUGCUGCCCCCGCAACGGUAAGGCCGAACUGAACGGCCAAGCCCGAUACCGGCCUGAGGCGCGCUUGAAGC
rnacentral:ncRNA from 2 species